AUUGAACGCUGGCGGCAUGCUUUACACAUGCAAGUCGAACGGUAACAGGCCUUCGGGUGCUGACGAGUGGCGGACGGGUGCGUAAUGCAUCGGAACGUGCCCAGAGGUGGGGGAUAACGCAGCGCAAGCUGUGCUGAUACCGCAUGUGAUCUGAGGUUGAAAGCGGGGGACCACGCAGCAAUGUUUGGCCUCUCGCCUCUGGAGCGGCCGAUGUCGGAUUAGGUAGUUGGUGGGGUAAAGGCCUACCAAGCCGACGAUCUGUAGCUGGUCUGAGAGGACGACCAGCCACACUGGGACUGAGACACGGCCCAGACUCCUACGGGAGGCAGCAGUGGGGAAUUUUGCACAAUGGGCGAAAGCCUGAUCGAGCAAUGCCGCGUGCGUGAAGAAGGCCUUCGGGUUGUAAACCGCUUUUGUACGGAACGAAAAAGCUCUGGCUAAUACCUGGGGCUGAUGACGGUACCGAAAGAAUAAGCACCGGCUAACUACGUG
rnacentral:rRNA from 1 species